ACAAGCUUAACACAUGCAAGUCGAGGGGUAGCAGGGUAGCAAUACCGCUGACGACCGGCGCACGGGUGAGUAACACGUAUCCAACCUUCCCAUAACUCGGGGAUAGCCUUUCGAAAGAAAGAUUAAUACCCGAUAGUACUUUUUUAGGGCAUCUUAGAAAAGUUAAAGAUUUAUUGGUUAUGGAUGGGGAUGCGUUCCAUUAGAUAGUUGGUGAGGUAACGGCUCACCAAGUCUUCGAUGGAUAGGGGUUCUGAGAGGAAGGUCCCCCACAUUGGUACUGAGACACGGACCAAACUCCUACGGGAGGCAGCAGUGAGGAAUAUUGGUCAAUGGGCGAGAGCCUGAACCAGCCAAGUAGCGUGAAGGAUGACGG
rnacentral:rRNA from 1 species